rnacentral:rRNA from 1 species
GACGAACGCUGGCGGCGUGCCUAAUACAUGCAAGUCGAGCGGACGGAUGGGAGCUUGCUCCCAGACCGUCAGCGGCGGACGGGUGAGUAACCCGUGGGCAACCUGCCUGUAAGACUGGGAUAACUCCGGGAAACCGGGGCUAAUACCGGAUAACUCUUUCCCUCCCAUGAGGGAAAGCUGAAAGAUGGCAUCUCGCUAUCACUUACAGAUGGUCCCGCGGCGCAUUAGCUAGUUGGUGAGGUAACGGCUCACCAAGGCGACGAUGCGUAGCCGACCUGAGAGGGUGAUCGGCCACACUGGGACUGAGACACGGCCCAGACUCCUGAGGGAGGCAGCAGUAGGGAAUCUUCCGCAAUGGACGAAAGUCUGACGGAGCAACGCCGCGUGAGUGAUGAAGGUUUUCGGAUCGUAAAACUCUGUUGUGAGGGAAGAACAAGUACCGGAGUAACUGCCGGUACCUUGACGGUACCUGGCCAGAAAGCCACGGCUAACUACGUG